rnacentral:rRNA from 1 species
UACGUAGGGUGCAAGCGUUAAUCGGAAUUCCUGGGCGUAAAGCGUACGCAGGCGGCUUUGCAAGACAGGUGUGAAAUCCCCGGGCCUAACCUGGGAACUGCAUUUGUGACUGCAUGGCUAGAGUUUGUCAGAGGGGGGUGGAAUUCCACGUGUAGCAGUGAAAUGCGUAGAUAUGUGGAGGAACACCGAUGGCGAAGGCAGCCCCCUGGGAUGUGACUGACGCUCAUGUACGAAAGCGUGGGGAGCAAACAGG